rnacentral:tRNA from 1 species
UCCCUGGUGGUCCAGUGGCUAAGACUAUGCACUCCCAAUGCAGGGGGCCUGGGUUUGAUUCCGGGUCAGGGAG